UACGUAGGGGGCGAGCGUUGUCCGGAUUUAUUGGGCGUAAAGAGCUUGUAGGCGGUUUGUCGCGUCUGCUGUGAAAUUUCGGGGCUCAACCCCGAACUUGCAGUGGGUACGGGCAGACUAGAGUGUGGUAGGGGAGACUGGAAUUCCUGGUGUAGCGGUGAAAUGCGCAGAUAUCAGGAGGAACACCAAUUGCGAAGGCAGCACUCUGGGCCGGUACUGACGCUGAGGAGCGAAAGCGUGGGGAGCGAACAGG
rnacentral:rRNA from 1 species